GAGCUCCAAGCCUAAGUCAUCAAGCCCAUGGGUGCAAGUUGCAAUGGCAAGAAAAGGAGGCGGGCAAGCCUGGUUGGCCACCCUUGAUUUGCAACCUUCUCUUGAGAGG
rnacentral:SRP_RNA from 1 species